rnacentral:lncRNA from 1 species
GACCAACUCUUUAUGGACCAGGUCUAGGCCCAGGAUAGGUGAGAUUGGGUCGAGUCAUGGGUGUACAUGGGCUUGGGUUAACCUAAUCUCCCAUAGAGUUGGUCAAGGGAGUUUUGGGUUUGGGUCACUUGACCCUGUGUUUAUAUAUACAUGCACUGUAUAGGUUUGAUUAAGCAAAAAGAAUAUAAAAACCCUUUCUUCCAAGUCUUUCUCUCUAUUCUCCCUCUCUCUCUAGCUAUUCUCCACACCCC